rnacentral:rRNA from 1 species
CCUACGGGAGGCAGCAGUGGGGAAUAUUGCACAAUGGGGGGAACCCUGAUGCAGCGACGCCGCGUGGGUGAAGGAGUAUUUCGGUAUGUAAAGCCCUAUCAGCAGGGAAGAACAAUGACGGUACCUGACUAAGAAGCACCGGCUAAAUACGUGCCAGCAGCCGCGGUAAUACGUAUGGUGCAAGCGUUGUCCGGAUUUACUGGGUGUAAAGGGCGUGCAGCCGGGAAGACAAGUCAGAUGUGAAAUCCCGCGGCUCAACCGCGGAACUGCAUUUGAAACUGUUUUUCUUGAGUACCGGAGAGGUCAUCGGAAUUCCUUGUGUAGCGGUGAAAUGCGUAGAUAUAAGGAAGAACACCAGUGGCGAAGGCGGAUGACUGGACGGCAACUGACGGUGAGGCGCGAAAGCGUGGGGAGCAAACAGGAUUAGAUACCCGGGUAGUC